CAAGAACAGAAACAGGCUACAAGCCACAGAGUCUCAAAGAGUCAGACACAGCUGAGUGACUGUUUUCUUUCUUUCAGGCCAUGUUAAGAAGUUUAGGCCAACUUACUGGCCAUGGGGAGCCAGGGAAGGAUUUUCAGCAGGGGAAUAAUCAUACUUCCAUUCAGGAAAAAAAAAAAAAUAACCACUGUGUGAGUGCAAGGCAGGGAACAGGGUGCUAAGAUACGGCUGCCGUAGCAGUGAUUAUAGGGAGCACAUGACACUGGGGCCAGGGAGAUCCAUUAAAAGGAUAUUUAAAGGUGGAAUCAGCAGAAGUCGGUUUGGUGUAUUACAAGUGGACAGAAGACACAAACAUCGGGAAUCAUGUCCGAUUUUCCAGCUCAGACCACUGGGUGGAAAUUGGUACCUUUAAUGUAGCAGAAGGAAAGGAAGAAAAGAACAUUCAGAAUGAGAAGUUUGCAUCCUACUUGACGGUCACAGCAUACCAUACCAAUGUGAUCAUUGUUAUAAUCCCCAUUUCACAAGUAAGGAUGCUGGCACUUGAGGUCAUUUGCCAACAGUCACAUAGCCGGUUUCUCUUCAAGAAAAUUAGAGAUAACAAGGGAACAUUUCAUGCAAAGAUGGGCUCGAUAAAGGACAGAAAUGGUAUGGACCUAACAGAAGCAGAAGAUAUUAAGCAGAGGUGGCAAGAAUACACAGAAGAACUGUACAAAAAAGAUCUUCACGACCAAGAUCAUCACAAUGGUGUGAUCACUCACCUAGAGCCAGACAUCCUGGAAUGUGAAGUCAAGUGGGCCUUAGAAAGCAUCACUAUGAAUAAAGCUAGUGGAGGUGAUGGAAUUCCAGUUGAGCUCCUU
ensembl:lncRNA